rnacentral:rRNA from 1 species
GACGAACGCUGGUGGCGUGCCUAAUACAUGCAAGUAGAACGCUGAAGAGAGGAGCUUGCUCUUCUUGGAUGAGUUGCGAACGGGUGAGUAACGCGUAGGUAACCUGCCUUGUAGCGGGGGAUAACUAUUGGAAACGAUAGCUAAUACCGCAUAACAAUGGAUGACCCAUGUCAUUUAUUUGAAAGGGGCAAAUGCUCCACUACAAGAUGGACCUGCGUUGUAUUAGCUAGUAGGUGAGGUAACGGCUCACCUAGGCGACGAUACAUAGCCGACCUGAGAGGGUGAUCGGCCACACUGGGACUGAGACACGGCCCAGACUCCUACGGGAGGCAGCAGUAGGGAAUCUUCGGCAAUGGGGGCAACCCUGACCGAGCAACGCCGCGUGAGUGAAGAAGGUUUUCGGAUCGUAAAGCUCUGUUGUAAGUCAAGAACGAGUGUGAGAGUGGAAAGUUCACACUGUGACGGUAGCUUACCAGAAAGGGACGGCUAACUACGUG